GACGAACCGUGCGAACGUUGUUCGGAAUCACUGGGCGUAAAGCGCACGUAGGCGGACUCUUAAGUCGGGGGUGAAAUCCUGGAGCUCAACUCCAGAACUGCCUUCGAUACUGGGAGUCUUGAGUUCGGGAGAGGUGAGUGGAACUGCGAGUGUAGAGGUGAAAUUCGUAGAUAUUCGCAAGAACACCAGUGGCGAAGGCGGCUCACUGGCCCGAUACUGACGCUGAGGUGCGAAAGCGUGGGGAGCAAACAGG
rnacentral:rRNA from 1 species